GGAGGUGCUCUGACGUGGAGGCGGGGGGAUGGGCUCUUCCGGAGAGUGCACCCCUCCCUGGUUGUGUGUUCCAGAAAGCUGGGCCUCGCCCUGCCCUCAGGAGGCACACAGCCCGAGGAAAGGUGACUGGGAAACCAAGUCAGUGCGGGGUUUAGAGCUGCCGUGGAGAGGAAAGCGAUGCCCACACUUCCCCAAACUUUGAAGACGAGAUUUGGGGCCCGCGGUAGGGAGGUUCCAUGUUGAGAAGGGACGGUCCCUGUAAGCAAGGUGCUGUGCUUUGGUGAUCUGGGUAAUUGCUGCCCCAAGGACAGUCAGGUCCUUGAUUGCCUCACGUCAACAUCGCAAGACCUGGGCCUCUUGCCCUGUGGCUUCCUGCGAACCUGCUGGCAACCUCACAGGGAUUCACUAUCCUCAGUAUGCUUAGCAGAAGGGAGAAUAAUAGGGAUAAAUUUGUCGUAUACUUUACACAGAGCUCUUGAAGGCCCUGACCAGUGGUGAAACCAUUCAGUCACUUCUGAGUGUGAGGCAGUGUGGCCGGUGGCCCAGCAAGCAGGUCAGAGGUAAUCAGGCACCUGAAUCUGGUGAGCCCCAGUGAGCAUCUCACUGGAGCAGACUGUCACCUGUGGAGCACCCCUGUGAACCACCCCUUGGUAUCCACUCGGUGGGAAGUCCCCCUACCUUAGUUGUAGAAUGGCACCGUGACUGGCUUUUGCCAAUAAGAUAUAGUAAAAGUACACUGGGCCAGUUCCAGCCUAAGCCUGGAGAAGCCGAGCGGGUUUGGCACUCUACGGAGCCCUGUGCUACCGUGUAGAAUUUCUCCCUGCUGCGAAAAGCCUCAUGGAGAGGCCACGUGGAAAGGGAGAAACCUCAGCCUCCAUCCGUCUGACCCACUGACUAAAUUCGCAUCAGCAAGACCACCAGAAGAACCGCUCAGCUGAUCCCAGCAGAGCACAGUGUGGAUUUGUGACCACAGAUUUUGCAGCCAGUACAGAGAAGGAAUUCCCGAAUGGAAACGCUAAGUCCAAGUACAAAGUCACAAAGAACUGAACUAGAGAGAAGGGCUGGAUCUGAGCAUCUCUGAGAGGCUUUGAUGAACAUGCGUGUCACCAGCCAUGUCAGCCUUGAACUUGUUUCCAAGGAUCUAUGUUGCUUCCUAAAUAUACUGAAUUCUCCAUUUAUAAAUACUCUCAAGUGGGACAUCUUCAUGGACAGACCUCAUUUCGUCUCACACAAGCUGCUGCCUCUACUUGAAGCCUCUCGCCCCUUUAUUUGGGUGGUAGGUUGGCAGAGAGGAAGAGAAAGUCCAGCAUGAAAACGUAGAGCCUGGAGUGGGAGAGUCACACGGCCCUGCUGACAACUUCGGAUUCUGACACUUCCCUUUGGUUUUUAAAAUUUUCACUGAUUUUGAAAGAGACACGAAGAGCAAGCAGGGGAAGGGCAGAGAGAGAGAAAGAGGGAGUGAGCGAGUGAGGGAGGGAGACAGAAACCCAAGCAGGCUCCAUACUGUCAGCACAGAGCCCGAUGUGGGGCUUGAACUCAAGAACCGUGAGAGCACAACCUGAGCCGACAUCAAGAGUCGGGCACUUAGCCAACUGAGCCGCCAUCACGCCCCCAUUCUUAUUCUAUCAUUUGUGAAUUCCUUCGGCCAUCCUUGCACCAUCCACAGACCCCAUCUACAUGUAAGACAACCAUGAAGAGAUCAGCACGCACAGAUGUGCCUACAAAACUGGAUAAAUAUUAGGAUCAGAAUAAAAGCCCGGCGACAACACUGAAUAGAAUGGUUUAUUUUUCGAAAAUCACAGCACAAAGAGGGGACUCUGGAAAGCAGAUGUAUCCAUGUUGCCGUUAGGUAUCCAGAAGGAGAAAGCACAGGAACUGCCCAAGGAGGCCUCUUCUCUUCUUUGUGCCAUAAUAUCACCAACACUCCUUCCAGAGGAAAGAACCUCACGCCCAGCAGGAGAAUGAGGUCUUUGUUCAGUCCAGUAAGGGACAUUUACUGAGUGGCCUUUCUGUAGCAUGCAUUUGGUGACGAACAAUUCACAUAUAGGUAUGUAUUACAAAUACCUUUGUCUUGCUUCUGCCAGGGCCGUGGGAGGUUGGAGUGCAGACCGCUUUAGGUGGGGGGCAGACUACGUUGGGGAGGACCUGGACCUGGGGAGACAUUAAGUUAGACUCUGAAGGCUGGAUGGAUCUAAACUGAGGAGUUGGAAGAGGGGAACCGAAUACGUGGAAAAACGUACUGUAGAGUGAGAGAGUGUUAGCACUGGGAAUAGCAACAUAUCGGGGAACUUGACUGGAUCAGUCUGGAAGGGCGAUUCAUGCAGAAACUGGGUGCAGGAUAAAUCAGAACUGUGGGUACUGGAGGCAGGAACACCAAGAAGGGAUUGGUUCUGAUCCAUCUAGAGGCUCGAUGAUAGGAAUCUGGGUCAAGACCAUGGCAGUGAGCACGGAAGAGAGAGGGAGACGGGGAGAAAAGAUGGCGGACUGGAUGGGGAGACACAGGAGGAAGGGCACUCAAAGAAGAGAUUUUAGCACUUGAGAAUAAAUCGUACCGACUGUGGAAGAAUGGAGACAAAGGAGACUUGUUGAUGGUGGCCGUGAAGACCCCAAAAGGGAGGAGGAGACAGUGGGUCUCUGGAUGAGCACAUCUACCACAUUUACAAGUCCUGUCCCUCAUGUCACAGGAUGCUGGAAGGUGUACAUUUCUUGACCUCGAACAAGGGAGAAAGGCUGGACUUCCAUUCAGCAGACAUUGUCAGGUGCUUGGGUGCCCCUCUACCAGGGGAGAGGGGAACACGGUAUGUUCCUUGUUCCUUGUUCCCAGUCCACUGUAGAGGCAGACAUAUUUUAAGUUCUUAAAAAUUCACAGAGCCAACAGCCUGCAGGCCCCUCAGCCUUUGGGUACCAUCAACGAUACACAACGUGGCAGCCAGUUCCACUGCGCCUGUAGGAAGCACUCAACCGGACUGGGGGAGAGCCCGAGGAGACCGGUCCUGAGAGAAGAGAGCUGAGUGGCAAGGGCCACCUUGCUCUGAGCCCCACACUGCGGUCUCAGCAAAGAUGGACUCAGCAGAAAGCUAUGUGGGGGUCCCCACCUCCCGUUUCCUCUGAGAAGCAGCCAGCCUUACGAACCAACACGUACCCUGUCCCGGCACACCUACCACGCACACUCUUGGGAAUGGCAAGGAGGCAACAGACAGAGACCAACUCGGUUGACCAGACUGAUUUCCCAGGUACCAGGGCCAUGAGGCAGACAGAGGCUUGGUGGUCAGGAGCAGCAGGGGCAGUAUGAGAAGCGGGGACCAGGGACAGGCUGGGACUGCGGAGAUCUGGGAGAUGCCGGCAGCAGAUGCAGGUGAGAGCAGGUUGUGGGGACAGUGGCCUUCCAACCAGUGCCAGUGUGGACAGAGGCCAACUGACGAGAUGCCUUCUUCUCAUGGAUACUGGAUGCACCGAGAUGAUCCCUGCCGCCACCGCAGAAGAAAGAAGGCGUCCCUAAACUAUAGCAAAGGCCGAUUUAUCUGAGUCUACCAUGAACCCAGAUGAACUUCACACCACAACGGAGCCGUGCCCUGGAGCUCGGCAGUCACCUCUGCGACCGUGAUGAUGUCUCCCUGUUUCAGUUGCUCGACAGGAUACCGUGGGAUGUGGAGGUCGGCACAACAUAGCCCAGGAUGAAGCCGACCGCUGCAAGACGGUCACAAGUUCGGAUCCUGUCCCUGCAUCCUCCACUCUGCGUUCCCUGAGGGCCGACAAGGCUGCAGGACACGUGUCAGGCCCAGGCCCCGCCACUGGGUGGUCCCAUUUCUCCUGAGACUCCCUCUCAGACUCUGUAACAUCCCUUCCGUCCUCCCAGCUGGCAGGACCCAACCAUGACCCUUCACACUCUGAGGUGUGGAAACCCUCCUCCAUUCUUAGGGGGCCAGAAUUCGCUACAAGGGAGUCUUUUGCAAGAGCGAACAUUUAUUCAGUCAACAAACAUGGGCUGCUUGCCAGGG